GAUGAAGAACGUAGCGAAACGCGAUAGGUAUUGUGAAUUGCAGAAUUUCGUGAAUCAUCGAAUCUUUGAACGCACAUUGCGCCCGCCAGCAUUCUGGCGGGCAUGCCUGUUCGAGCGUCAUUUCAACCCUCGACCUCCCCUUGGGGAGGUCGGCGUUGGGGACCGGCAGCACACCGCCGGCCCUGAAAUGGAGUGGCGGCCCGUCCGCGGCGACCUCUGCGCAGUAAUACAGCUCGCACCGGGACCCCGACGCGGCCACGCCGUAAAACACCCAACUUCUGAACGUUGACCUCGAAUCAGGUAGGACUACCCGCUGAACUUAAGCAUAUCAAUAAGCGGAGGA
rnacentral:misc_RNA from 1 species